rnacentral:rRNA from 1 species
GAAUUUCUGUGAAUUUAUUGAUUAUUUUUCUGGUUUGGUUGCCUUUUGCAUCAUGCUUUUUGGAUUAUUAAAUGUAUAUUUUUUACCGAAAAUUCUAGAUUUUAUCAUUAACUGUUUUGAACUUAUGUUUUUUGGGUAAAAUUUUAAAGAUUAUUGAUACGCGGUGAAAAAUUAUUCGUUAGAAUUUAUAUCUGUUUAACUGUUAGGUAUUUUGUGACACAUGCGAAGUUAUGAGAUUUUGUAUGAGUUUAUAUGGGUCAGUUUCUAAAUUUUAUAAAAGGGUUAAAGUUACCCAAUUUUUAAGACUUUGUUAAAAAUCUUUAAUGUGAGAUGAGAUCUGUUAAGUUUAGCUACAGUUUGUUGAAAAGUUAGGUUUUACAUAUCAUAAAAUUAGUAAUUAAAUUACAUUAUUUAUUUCUCGAAUUUUGCCCGUCUGUUUAUUAAAAACAUUUCCAAUUGAUUAUUAUUUUUGGUAUUACCUGCUCUAUGCUUUAUGUAAAUGGCCGCAGUAUUUUGACUGUGCGAAGGUAGCAUAAUUAAUUGCCUCAUAAUUGGGGGCUUGUUUGAAUGGUUUGACGAGGUAACAGUGAAUAUAUUUUGUUUUUUUGAAUUUAUUGUUGAGGGCACAGAAACCUCAUUUGUUAAUUAGACGGAAAGACCCCGGGAUCUUUUGUUUUUGCCUGGGGCAGGUUUUAGUUUUUUACUAAUAUUGAGACCCUUAUGGUUUAUUGGGUUAAGUUACCCCGGGGAUAACAGUGUAAUAAUUAAUUAGAGAUCUUAUCGAAUUAGUUGUUUGCCACCUCGAUGUUGACUUAGAUAAAUGUAUAGGCGUAGUAGUUUAUAAUUUUGGUCUGUUCGACCUUUAUUAUCUCCAUGAGUUGAGUUAAGACCGGCGUAAGCCAGGUCGGUUCUUAUCUGUUGUUCUGAUUUAUUAGUACGAAAGGACCGUAAAUCUUUUUAUU